UUUCCGUAGGUGAACCUGCGGAAGGAUCAUUACAGAAUUGGCUCCGUGCCAUUUCCAACCCUUGAAUAACCUCCUGUUGCUUCGGCGCUGCGGCGCCGAUGCCUACAAAACUCAGAAACUGUUGUGUCUGACAAAACAUUUAAUAUAUCAAAACUUUCAACAACGGAUCUCUUGGUUCCCGCAUCGAUGAAGAACGCAGC
rnacentral:misc_RNA from 1 species